UACGUAGGGUGCAAGCGUUAAUCGGAAUUACUGGGCGUAAAGCGUGCGCAGGCGGUGAUGUAAGACAGAUGUGAAAUCCCCGGGCUCAACCUGGGAACUGCAUUUGUGACUGCAUGGCUAGAGUGCGGCAGAGGGGGAUGGAAUUCCGCGUGUAGCAGUGAAAUGCGUAGAUAUGCGGAGGAACACCGAUGGCGAAGGCAAUCCCCUGGGCCUGCACUGGCGCUCAUGCACGAAAGCGUGGGGAGCAAACAGG
rnacentral:rRNA from 1 species